rnacentral:rRNA from 1 species
ACGCACGUGUGAAACUUGAAGGAAUUGACGGAAGGGCACCACAAGAACGCGUGGAGCAUGUGGCUUAAUUUGACCCAACGCGGGAAAUCUUACCGGGUCCGGACACACUGAGGAUUGACAGGCACUAUUAAAAAUGGAGUCUCGCAUUUAUUUGCGUGUUCUUCUUUUUAUGUCAAAUAUGCUAGUCCUUUCAUGAUUAUGUGAUAGGUGGUGCAUGGCCGUUCUUAGUUCGUGGAGUGAUCUGUCUGCUUAAUUGCGUUUCACUAAGAGUUCUAAACUUAAUGUGUAUUGCAGCGGUUUCAUUGACCCCUGUCAAUUUAUUGGCGGUGUUGUUGUCUUUGUUUCUUGUCUGCUUACACUACUGAGCUCUGAAAGCAACGAACGUGACCG